AACGCACAUUGCACCCUCUGGUAUUCCGGGGGGUAUGCCUGUUCGAGCGUCAUUUCAACCCUCAAGCCUGGCUUGGUAUUGGGUGUCACUUAAUUAGGUGCGCCUUAAAAUUAGUGGUAAUGCCAUCUGGCUUCAAGCGUAGUAAAUUUCUCGCUUUGGAGGUUUAGAUGUGUGUUUGCUAUCAACACUCUAUUCUUCAAUGGUUGACCUCGGAUCAGGUAGGGAUACCCGCUGAACUUAA
rnacentral:misc_RNA from 1 species